GUUAACAAUUUAGUUACUGCAUAUAGCAAACAGCAGUUAAAAAUACUUCAGGUAUGUAAUUUCUUCUUUCAGCUUUACAUAGUUUUCCUAACACAUGACUGUUGAAAGAGAUUUUUAUGAGUGGUUUUUUUUUUUCCAGUUGCUUUGCUGUACGACUUCACCUUUGAAUUCUUCAAGCUGACAGAAGCUUCGGUAGCUCAGUGUAACAGAAGCUCCUGCUGUUAGUCCCACUACAGCAUCUUAAUUGCAAACCAGAGAUGAUAGCUCAUGUUCAAAGAGCACAGACAGAGCUACAGCAGCAAGGGGUGAAGAAUGAAGAUGGAGGAUGGCAAUAUGUGUUCCUAGAGCAGCUUGUUAGAUCUCAGAAGGAGGAGCAAGGGAAGCUCUGCCUGCCACACAGAUAUGAACUGCACCUUACUGAUAAUGGUGAACCUUGA
rnacentral:lncRNA from 1 species